UACGUAGGGAGCAAGCGUUGUCCGGAAUCAUUGGGCGUAAAGAGCGCGUAGGCGGCCCGAUAAGUCCGCUGUGAAAGUCAAGGGCUCAACUCGGAUGCCGGUGGAUACUGUCGGGCUUGAGUACGGAAGAGGCGAGUGGAAUUCCUGGUGUAGCGGUGAAAUGCGCAGAUAUCAGGAGGAACACCAAUUGCGAAGGCAGCUCGCUGGGACGUUACUGACGCUGAGACGCGAAAGCGUGGGGAGCAAACAGG
rnacentral:rRNA from 1 species